rnacentral:rRNA from 1 species
UCGGGAAGGGAUAAACGCGGAAAGCAUCUAAGCGUGAAGCCCACCCUAAGAUGAGAUUUCCCAUGACGUAAGUCAAUAAGAUCCCUUGAAGAACACAAGGUUGAUAGGUCAGAGGUGUAAGUGCAGCAAUGUAUUUAGCUGACUGAUACUAAUAGAUCGAAGGCUUGAUCAAAUU